rnacentral:rRNA from 1 species
UACGGGAGGCAGCAGUGGGGAAUAUUGCACAAUGGGGGAAACCCUGAUGCAGCCAUGCCGCGUGUGUGAAGAAGGCCUUCGGGUUGUAAAGCACUUUCAGUAGGGAGGAAGGUAGUGUAGUUAACACCUGCAUUAUUUGACGUUACCUACAGAAGAAGCACCGGCUAACUCCGUGCCAGCAGCCGCGGUAAUACGGAGGGUGCGAGCGUUAAUCGGAAUUACUGGGCGUAAAGCGCAUGCAGGCGGCCUGUUAAGUCAGAUGUGAAAGCCCGGGGCUUAACCUCGGAAUUGCAUUUGAAACUGGCAGGCUAGAGUCUUGUAGAGGGGGUAGAAUUUCAGGUGUAGCGGUGAAAUGCGUAGAGAUCUGAAGGAAUACCAGUGGCGAAGGCGGCCCCCUGGACAAAGACUGACGCUCAGAUGCGAAAGCGUGGGGAGCAAACAGGAUUAGAUACCCUGGUAG